AUUUAUAUAAUAUAAAUAUUAUACUUGACUUCCAAUCAAAAAAUCUGAAUAAACUUCAGUAUAAAUA
rnacentral:tRNA from 1 species